AUGCCGCCGCGUCGUACGAGCGGGCCGCCUCCUCUAUGGUGUCAAAGGUGUCACGACCAAGGCGUUUCUCGCCAAACCAGAUCUCCAAGGAGAAGGCGCUGGAGCGGCGCUCGCGAACUCCGCAAAAAUCCGGAGCGCCCAGGCGGCGCAUCGAUAUGGUGGCGCAGAAGCGGCGAGACUAGUGAGUGGGGGCGAGUCGAGUGGUGGGCGGACAUAGUGUGGAGGGAACGCCUUCUUAAUAAUGCGCGCCGAACACAGCGCGCCAAAACCAGCGCACGCGCUAGGCCGAUUUCCCCUCGCACGUGCGAUCCUUUCUCGCGCGCUGGAGCGCUAAAACUAGGGCGACGACAUGGCCGCUUGUAUGAUCUAUGGCCAUGGGCCUUUUUUAAAAAUUGUGCGCGGACAUGA
rnacentral:rRNA from 1 species